GACGAACGCUGGCGGCGUGCUUAACACAUGCAAGUCGAACGGAAAGGCCCUGCUUUUGUGGGGUGCUCGAGUGGCGAACGGGUGAGUAACACGUGAGUAACCUGCCCUUGACUUUGGGAUAACUUCAGGAAACUGGGGCUAAUACCGGAUAGGAGCUCCUGCUGCAUGGUGGGGGUUGGAAAGUUUCGGCGGUUGGGGAUGGACUCGCGGCUUAUCAGCUUGUUGGUGGGGUAGUGGCUUACCAAGGCUUUGACGGGUAGCCGGCCUGAGAGGGUGACCGGCGACAUUGGGACUGAGAUACGGACCAGACUGCUACGGGAGGCAGCAGUGGGGAAUAUUGCACAAUGGGCGGAAGCCUGAGGCAGCAACGCCGCGUGCGGGAUGACGGCCUUCGGGUUGUGAACCGCUUUCGCCUGUGACGAAGCGUGAGUGACGGUAAUGGGUAAAGAAGCACCGGCUAACUACGUG
rnacentral:rRNA from 1 species